UACGUAGGGUGCAAGCGUUAAUCGGAAUUACUGGGCGUAAAGCGAGUGUAGGCGGUUGCCCAAGUCAGGUGUGAAAGCCUUGAGCUCAACUCAAGAAAUGCACUUGGUACUGGGUGGCUAGAGGACCGGAGAGGAUAGUGGAAUUCCCAGUGUAGUGGUGAAAUACGUAGAGAUGUGGAGGAACACCAGUGGCGAAGGCGACUCUUUGGCCUGUAACUGACGCUGAGGCGCGAAAGCGUGGGGAGCAAACAGG
rnacentral:rRNA from 1 species